GCGCUCGGUUUAUGCGUCAAACUCGGCUCAGUUUGGUGAACUUUGAUUUGACAUCACUGGGCAUAGUUUGUCGCAUAAUGAUUGAAAGGCA
rnacentral:pre_miRNA from 1 species